rnacentral:lncRNA from 1 species
CCGACCCAAAGGCCGCGGCUGCUAUUCAAAGAAUGUUGGGAACCAGAAUCGAAAUGCGGUAUCAUAGCCCAGAAAACAAUGCGAAAUCCUUCUGUUUCUGAACUGUCAUCUCAGCUGAGAUAGAUGAUCGGGGGCCCUACUGCAUCAACAGCAGUAUAAAACACCCCACCUAGAGAGAGCGCACUCAGUACUGAGGUAGAAGGGGCUGGAGAGCAAACCCACAAUUUCUUGCAUUUUGGACAAGAACUCUGCCAACUGAUCUGGCCUCUCAGUCCCAAGGGAUUUCCUACAGUGGCCACACGCUCACUCCAAGGAGCUGGUCCUUCCGGGGAGAAGAAAAGGCAUGCUUUCCUCAGUCAACUUUCUAGAAGCACUUCAGGAAAUGAGGAAAUUGAAGCUCAAGAGCCCUCGACUUGUGACUAUGACUAAUGGUCGCCGCAGAGCCGGACUCGAAUCACUUUAAUGGAAGAGAAGGCCCUUCCUGCUCGUUUAGCAGCGAGAGACCAACUGACUAGGGUACCAACUAAAUAAAGUUUAUACUAUGAAAACCUUCAUCUAAAUCUGCCCAAUUCACACCUAAACAACCGGAGAAGGGGCACUGCUUAAUUACCACAGUGUAUACAAUAUCACCUUAAUUUGAAUCUAA